rnacentral:lncRNA from 1 species
CAGUUCUCCUUGCAGUGAGUACUGUACAAUACACCAGGAUUGGUUAUGCUUCCCAGAUGGCCCAAAAUCAAGGCUGUGUUGGUGCACAGUGGGUGGAUGAGGAUGAGAGUAACUCAUCAAAAGGAGACGUGACUAAGACAAGAGAAUCUUCACAUAAUGCACCCUUAUCCAUGAGUGAACUGCAGAGCAGUUCACCAGUGCAGCAGAACGCUCCUGUUCACUUGGAUAAUGGUGAAUACUGGUCCAGUCGUGCAGCUGUGCACAAAGAGAAGCCUCACAGAGCGAUCUUUGAAGAGAGCCUCGGAAAAAUAUACAAAAACAUGUACCAAAAAGUUGCUGGCACUGUUUCAGACCAAAAAACACAUUCCUGA